GUAGGUGGCAAGCGUUGUCCGGAAUUAUUGGGCGUAAAGCGCGCGCAGGCGGUUCUUUAAGUCUGAUGUGAAAGCCCACGGCUCAACCGUGGAGGGUCAUUGGAAACUGGAGAACUUGAGUACAGAAGAGGAAAGCGGAAUUCCACGUGUAGCGGUGAAAUGCGUAGAGAUGUGGAGGAACACCAGUGGCGAAGGCGGCUUUCUGGUCUGUAACUGACGCUGAGGCGCGAAAGCGUGGGGGAGCAAACAGGAUUAGAUACCCUGGUAGUCCACGCCGUAAACGAUGAGUGCUAAGUGUUAGGGGGUUUUCGCCCCUUAGUGCUGCAGCUAACGCAUUAAGCACUCCGCCUGGGAGUACGGCCGCAAGGCUG
rnacentral:rRNA from 1 species